rnacentral:rRNA from 1 species
UCCAGACUCCUACGGGAGGCAGCAGUGAGGAAUAUUGGUCAAUGGACGAGAGUCUGAACCAGCCAAGUAGCGUGAAGGAUGACUGCCCUAUGGGUUGUAAACUUCUUUUAUAAAGGAAUAAAACGAGGCACGUGUGCCUUUUUGCAUGUACUUUAUGAAUAAGGAUCGGCUAACUCCGUGCCAGCAGCCGCGGUAAUACGGAGGAUGCGAGCGUUAUCCGGAUUUAUUGGGUUUAAAGGGUGCGUAGGUUGUUUUUUAAGUCAGCGGUGAAAGUUUGUGGCUCAACCAUAAAAUUGCCGUUGAAACUGGAAGACUUGAGUGUGUUUGAGGUAGGCGGAAUGCGUGGUGUAGCGGUGAAAUGCAUAGAUAUCACGCAGAACUCCGAUUGCGAAGGCAGCUUACUAAGCCAUAACUGACACUGAAGCACGAAAGCGUGGGGAUCAAACAGGAUUAGAUACCCUCGUAC